rnacentral:rRNA from 1 species
UACGGAGGGUGCAAGCGUUAUCCGGAUCUACUGGGCUUAAAGGGUGCGCAGGCGGCUAUGUAAGUCAGUGGUGAAAUCUUCCCGCUUAACGGGAAAACUGCCAUUGAUACUAUAUAUCUUGAAUGCUGUGGAGGUAAGCAGAAUAUGUCAUGUAGCGGUGAAAUGCUUAGAGAUGACAUAGAAUACCUAUUGCGAAGGCAGCUUACUAGGCAGAUAUUGACGCUCAGGCACGAAAGCGUGGGGAUCAAACAGG